ACUCAAAUGAAUAGACGGGGGCCCGCACAAGCAGCGGAGCAUGUGGCUUAAUUCGACGCAACGCGAAGAACCUUACCAAGGCUUGACAUACGCCGGAAAGCAUCAGAGAUGGUGCCCCCCUUGUGGUCGGUGUACAGGUGGUGCAUGGCUGUCGUCAGCUCGUGUCGUGAGAUGUUGGGUUAAGUCCCGCAACGAGCGCAACCCUUGUCCUGUGUUGCCAGCGUGCCCUUCGGGGUGACGGGGACUCACAGGAGACCGCCGGGGUCAACUCGGAGGAAGGUGGGGACGACGUCAAGUCAUCAUGCCCCUUAUGUCUUGGGCUGCACACGUGCUACAAUGGCCGGUACAAUGAGCUGCGAUACCGUGAGGUGGAGCGAAUCUCAAAAAGCCGGUCUCAGUUCGGAUUGGGGUCUGCAACUCGACCCCAUGAAGUCGGAGUUGCUAGUAAUCGCAGAUCAGCAGUGCUGCGGUGAAUACGUUCCCGGGCCUUGUACACACCGCCCGU
rnacentral:rRNA from 1 species